rnacentral:rRNA from 1 species
UGGGGAAUAUUGGACAAUGGGCGAAAGCCUGAUCCAGCCAUGCCGCGUGUGUGAAGAAGGUCUUCGGAUUGUAACGCACUUUAAGUUGGGAGGAAGGGCAGUAAGCGAAUACCUUGCUGUUUUGACGUUACCGACAGAAUAAGCACCGGCUAACUCUGUGCCAGCAGCCGCGGUAAUACAGAGGGUGCAAGCGUUAAUCGGAAUUACUGGGCGUAAAGCGCGCGUAGGUGGUUCGUUAAGUUGAAUGUGAAAGCCCCGGGCUCAACCUGGGAACUGCAUCCAAAACUGGCGAGCUAGAGUAGGGCAGAGGGUGGUGGAAUUUCCUGUGGAGCGGUGAAAUGCGUAGAUAUAGGAAGGAACACCAGUGGCGAAGGCGACCACCUGGGCUCAUACUGACACUGAGGUGCGAAAGCGUGGGGAGCAAACAGG